AACCUAGCACACCUGCGGUGUGUACCUGCGGAAGGAUCAUUACCGAGUUUACAACUCCCAAACCCCUGUGAACAUACCACUUGUUGCCUCGGCGGAUCAGCCCGCUCCCGGUAAAACGGGACGGCCCGCCAGAGGACCCCUAAACUCUGUUUCUAUAUGUAACUUCUGAGUAAAACUAUAAAUAAAUCAAAACUUUUAACAAUGGAUCU
rnacentral:misc_RNA from 1 species